rnacentral:rRNA from 1 species
GAUGAACGCUCGCUACAGGCUUAACACAUGCAAGUCGCGGGGCAGCAUGGGGGUUGCUUGCCACUCCCGAUGGCGACCGGCGCACGGGUGAGUAACGCGUAUCCAACCUGCCCUUCACCACGGGAUAACCCGGCGAAAGUCGGACUAAUACCGUAUGUUGUCCAUUGACGGCAUCCGAUUUGGACGAAAGGCUUUGCGGUGAAGGAUGGGGAUGCGUCCGAUUAGCCAGACGGCGGGGUAACGGCCCACCGUGGCUACGAUCGGUAGGGGUUCUGAGAGGAAGGUCCCCCACACUGGAACUGAGACACGGUCCAGACUCCUACGGGAGGCAGCAGUGAGGAAUAUUGGUCAAUGGGCGUAAGCCUGAACCAGCCAAGUAGCGUGCAGGAGGACGGCCCUAUGGGUUGUAAACUGCUUUUAUGCGGGGAUAAAGUGGCCCACGUGUGGGCUUUUGCAGGUACCGCAUGAAUAAGGACCGGCUAAUUCCGUG